rnacentral:rRNA from 1 species
UACGUAGGGUGCAAGCGUUAAUCGGAAUUACUGGGCGUAAAGCGUGCGCAGGCGGUUCGGAAAGAAAGAUGUGAAAUCCCAGAGCUUAACUUUGGAACUGCAUUUUUAACUACCGGGCUAGAGUGUGUCAGAGGGAGGUGGAAUUCCGCGUGUAGCAGUGAAAUGCGUAGAUAUAUGGAGGAACACCGAUGGCGAAGGCAGCCUCCUGGGAUAACACUGACGCUCAUGCACGAAAGCGUGGGGAGCAAACAGGAUUAGAUACCCUGGUAGUCCACGCCCUAAACGAUGUCAACUAGCUGUUGGGGCCUUCGGGCCUUGGUAGCGCAGCUAACGCGUGAAGUUGACCGCCUGGGGAGUACGGUCGCAAGAUUAAAACUCAAAGGAAUUGACGGGGACCCGCACAAGCGGUGGAUGAUGUGGAUUAAUUCGAUGCAACGCGAAAAACCUUACCUACCCUUGACAUGUCUGGAAUGCCGAAGAGAUUUGGCAGUGCUCGCAAGAGAACCGGAACACAGGUGCUGCAUGGCUGUCGUCAGCUCGUGUCGUGAGAUAUUGGGUUAAGUCCCGCAACGAGCGCAACCCUUGUCAUUAGUUGCUACGAAAGGGCACUCUAAUGAGACUGCCGGUGACAAACCGGAGGAAGGUGGGAUGACGUCAAGUCCUCAUGGCCCUUAUGGGUAGGGCUUCACACGUCAUACAAUGGUCGGGACAGAGGGUCGCCAACCCGCGAGGGGGAGCCAAUCCCAGAAACCCGAUCGUAGUCCGGAUCGCAGUCUGCAACUCGACUGCGUGAAGUCGGAAUCGCUAGUAAUCGCGGAUCAGCAUGUCGCGGUGAAUACGUUCCCGGGUCU